GCCCGAGCCCUCGCCUCCGCCCCCUCGCGCCCCGCCCCUCCCAGCAGGCCGGGCCAAGGAGGGCUCCGCCGCCCACCCGGAACCCGGCGGGGACCGCGGCUGCUACUGGCCACAGCCAUCCCCUGGGGGGCCAGAGGCCGAAGCCUGAGCGCGCCACUCACCUAAGUAACCCUUAGCGGAGGCACUGUCUGCUCUGGGCCUCAGUUUCCCUCUGACAAAAGAGGGCACGAUUUACAAGCCCCUGCGAGCGGCGGCGAUCGCUUAGGCACCACAGCCUACUGUCCGCGCUCCUUCUAUUCCAGGGAUCUCUACGGGGCGAGAGCCAGCCCUGCAUCCUCGGUCUGAACCGUAGCCCCCGGGCUCCAGGAGGCGCGCUCACUUUAGACCCACUGCUCCCUGCGCUGCAGAGGGGGCCGCGAGAGUCAGGACAUUCCAGAAAGUUCCAAAGACAUCACUGGUCCUCUUUGGACCGGAGCUCUCCGGGGAAACCGCUUCCGGCGCUCCCGACAGACCGCGAUAGAAAGUUUCACAGAAAUAGGGCAAUGGACAGGGCGAGGGCUCCAGGGCAGUCGUCCUGGGGCACCUGGAGCAGGGGCGGACCGGAAACCUCAAGCAAGCGCAGAAGAGGAGAUGGCAUUCCAGGCGGGAGACCAAGCAAAGGCAGAGAGGGAGGACGGCAAGGAGCGGCUCCCUCUGACCAGGACUGAGGAUGAUGCGACCUGAUACCGCCGGAGGGAAGCCUGGGCCCGAUGAGACUGAAGCUCAAAGAAGUUAAGUAACUUGCCAAAAGACUCCCAGCUAAAAGUGUCAGAGCAAGGACUCAAACCAAGGCAAUCUUCUGGUUUCAGAGCCUGAAGUCUUAACCAGCACAGAACAGGCCCUGUGCCCCUCCUGGAUGGGAAAUUGCUGCCCCACCAAUCUCCAGCCCAGCCUCAACCAGCAGCACAGCACUCCCCACUGGGCUCCUUCUGCAGUCAUACUCUUCCCUGCCCACACCUUGUUCUCCUGCUUCCUGCCUCUCUCUUCCAUCAAGCACCAGAACCAUUUCCUUAUGAAGAGUUGCUACUGCUAACGCCAAAGCCUGGGACACGUUCCAGAGACACCAACACAGAGCCGUAAAGGUUCCAACUAUCUGGACUCUCAGGGUUGGAAAUCCCAGUGCCCUUUACGAGAGGUUCUGGGAACCUGGGCUGUACUUGAGGAAUGUUAAAGGACUUGCCUUUUGCACUUCUGGUUCCUACAAAAUCCCAUUUUUUUAAAAAGGGGACUUUUUUUUUUAAGGGAUGGGGUCUUGCUAGGUUGUCCAGGAUGGAGUGCUAGUCACAGGUGUAGUAAUAGUGCAAUACAACCCUGAACUCCUGGCCUCAAGCAGUUCUCCAGUCUCAGCCUUCUGAGUAGCUGGGACUACAGAGACAUGCCCAGCUCUACUCUGGGGCUUUUGAUACAGAAUAAAGGUGGGUAAGGGAUUCUCUGAUGGUUCUCGUUCAAAUUUCUUAGAAAAUCACCCUCACCCUCUCUCAGUGCUGUGGGUAGUGCUGAUUCAGAGGCAAAAGUAAGACUGAAUCUUACUUUUGACUGGAGGAUCAUCUCAGAAUCUGCAGUAACAAAAACAGUGAUCCCAGGGAGACUUUGGGGCCCCAGGCUCUCAGGGGAGCAGCAGUUCCAGCAGCUCUCUGGUGUCACAGUGCCCAGCAAGUCCCUGGAGCCAGAGGCAGGGCUGUCCCCUGGCACUGCCUUUGUUCUCCUUCUGUGAGAGGACAGCCACACCUGCUUCACCCCAUCUUACCCGUGAACAGAUGUGCUUAGGGAUGUCUAAGUGGCAGGGCUUUGGGACAGUAUGGUCAAGGGCCUGAAGUCUUGGUCACAGAGGAUCAGAGGCUGAGGUACAACAUCUCAAACUAUCACUGGAGUGUGUUCCUUGUAACCUAGUCAAUCAAGAUGAUGUGAGCAAAGUGUUCCAAGAUCAAAACCAAGUUUGAGUAACACUGCAGGCUGAGAGGUGGUCACAGUGUACAUUAGCAUAGUAAAGGUUCUGAGAAGACCUAUGGGAAAUGAACUUAUUUCACUUAAAUAUAAGAUUCUUAAACUUAUUUGAUCAUAGACUUUGCAGGGGAAGGGAAGGUACAGAACACAUCCUAAUAGAACACCUUUUAUACCUUUUAGAACCACUGCUCACUUAGCCUCUUUCUUCACCAGAAAAGGUGUCAGGGAGAGCCCUGACCCCCACUGCACCCACCAGGUUUGUUCCAGGUGUGACCAGAUGCUGGUGUCUUGUCACAGGUACAGAAUCUGCUGCUCUGCCUAUGGAGUUGCCAUUCUUCUGUUUCUUUACUUCCUUAAUAAACUUGC